rnacentral:tRNA from 1 species
GCCGGGAUAGCACAGUUGGUAGUGCAGUCGAUUCGUAAUCGACAGGUCGAGGGUUCGAGUCCCUUUCCCGGCU